rnacentral:rRNA from 1 species
AUUGAACGCUGGCGGCAGGCCUAAUACAUGCAAGUCGAGCGAGCGGCGGACGGGUGAGUCAUGUCUGGGAACCUGCCUGAUGGAGGGGGAUAACUACUGGAAACGGUAGCUAAUACCGCAUACCAUCGGAUGUGCCCAGAUGGGAUUAGCUAGUAGGUGGGGUAAAGGUACACCUAGGCGACGAUCCCUAGCGGGUCUGAGAGGAUGACCGGCCACACUGGAACUGGGACACGGUCAGACCUCCUAGGGGGGGAGGCAGUGGGGAAUAUUGGACAAUGGGGGCAAGCCGGAUGCAGCCAGGCCGCGUGUAGGAAGAAGGCCUUCGGGUUGUAAAGUACUUUCAGCGGGGAGGCGGUACCCGCAGAAGAAGGACCGGCUAACUCCGUGCCAGCAGCCGCGGUAAUAC